GACGAACGCUGGCGGCGUGCUUAACACAUGCAAGUCGAACGGAAAGGCCCUGCUUUUGUGGGGUGCUCGAGUGGCGAACGGGUGAGUAACACGUGAGUAACCUGGCCUUGACUUUGGGAUAACUUCAGGAAACUGGGGCUAAUACCGGAUAGGAGCUCCUGCUGCAUGGUGGGGGUUGGAAAGUUUCGGCGGUUGGGGAUGGACUCGCGGCUUAUCAGCUUGUUGGUGGGGUAGUGGCUUACCAAGGCUUUGACGGGUAGCCGGCCUGAGAGGGUGACCGGCCACAUUGGGACUGAGAUACGGCCCAGACUCCUACGGGAGGCAGCAGUGGGGAAUAUUGCACAGUGGGCGGAAGCCUGAUGCAGCAACGCCGCGUGCGGGAUGACGGCCUUCGGGUUGUAAACCGCUUUCGCCUGUGACGAAGCGUGAGUGACGGUAAUGGGUAAAGAAGCACCGGCUAACUACGUG
rnacentral:rRNA from 1 species